UACGUAGGUGGCAAGCGUUGUCCGGAUUUACUGGGCGUAAAGAGCGCGCAGGCGGUCGUUCAAGUCGAGUGUGAAAGCCCCCGGCUCAACUGGGGAGGGUCACUCGAUACUGAUCGACUCGAAGGCAGAAGAGGGAAGCGGAAUUCCCGGUGUAGUGGUGAAAUGCGUAGAUAUCAUUUGGAACGCCAAUGGUGAAAACAGGUAGCUGGGGCUGUGCUGACGCUGAGACACGAAAGCCAGGGGAGCGAACGGG
rnacentral:rRNA from 1 species